AAAAAGGAAUUCCCCACAAACAUUCCCAUGGCGAAACUGGGCAAGUCUAGUGUUGCCCAGCAUGCUGUUGGCAUUGCUAUAAACAAAGAAGUAAAGAUUCUUGCCAAGAGAACUAAUGUGCAUACUAAGCAUAUCAAGCCCUCUAAGAGCAGAGAGAGCUUCCUGAAACAUGCACAGGAAAGCAAUCGGAAAAAGAAGGAAGCUGAGAGAAAAGUACUUGGGCUCAACAGAAGCACCAGCCUGCUCCUCCUAAAGAAGCACACUUUGUGAGAACCAGUGGAAAGCAGCUUGAACUGCUGGAACCCAGUCCCUGUGAAUUUGUGAUGUCAUAAAAAUAAAGUUUGGAGUUCAUGGAAAAGUGUUAGCUCUGGGAAGAAAUCAGAAAAGCAAAGCAAGACUCCAGUCCUGGAAGAACAGCAAUACCAACCAUGGUGCUCAGAGGACGAAAGACUAGAGAUGAGCAUAAGGUUAAAGCAAGACUUGGGAUGUUGCCAGGUGCAGACACAGGCCCUGAAAAAAGAGCAGCUAUCAUAGCUGGAGCCAGUGCUAAUUCAGGGCAUCUGCGACCUAUGCCACAGCUCACAGCAACGCCGGAU